UACGUAGGGUGCGAGCGUUUGUCCGGAAUUAUUGGGCGUAAAGAGCUCGUAGGCGGUGUGUCACGUCGGCCGUGAAAACCUGCAGCUUAACUGUGGCGUGCGGUCGAUACGGGCAUCACUGGAGUUCGGCAGGGGAGACUGGAAUUCCUGGUGUAGCGGUGAAAUGCGCAGAUAUCAGGAGGAACACCGGUGGCGAAGGCGGCAUCCUGGACCGACACUGACGCUGAGGAGCGAAAGCAUGGG
rnacentral:rRNA from 1 species